rnacentral:lncRNA from 1 species
CCUACUUCUCAUCUGCAUAUUCCAUUUUCAUUCUUUGAAUCCAAGAGCUCUUUAAAAGCCAAAGAAAGGGAAACACGAAGUUGGUCAAGUCACAAAUUAGGAAAGUUCUAUUUAGGAGCCUUGGGUAAAAUUACAUACACCUGCAUGAGACCUGAUACUGGAAACUGGAUGAGAAAGCCUGGGGAGGAAGCACUCUGGUUAUGAAGGCCAUCAGGGAGUAUGGAAGCCGAGGAAAAGGGAGAAACAUGAAGCUGGGACCUAUCAUGGAAGAACUAAAUAUUUUCCCCAUCACUGACCUCCUGCCACACACCUGGCCUAGGAGACAAAAAAAAUUGAAGGAGGUCAAGAAGAAGGCAGAACAAUUGCAGGCCCAGCUGCUGCUUCAUGCCAAAGGAAAUGAAUGACUUGUCUUCCGAACUAUACUGUAAGUUUCUGCCGAACAGAGGCUCUGUUACAAUUCUCUGCCAUUCUCAGUGUCUACCAUACAGCAAUGUUCUACAAAUACUUGUUGCCUUGGAUAAACUGUAAAAAGUAAGUACAGAAAAUAC